rnacentral:rRNA from 1 species
UAGGGAAUCUUCGGCAAUGGACGGAAGUCUGACCGAGCAACGCCGCGUGAGUGAAGAAGGUUUUCGGAUCGUAAAGCUCUGUUGUUAGAGAAGAACGUUGGUAGGAGUGGAAAAUCUACCAAGUGACGGUAACUAACCAGAAAGGGACGGCUAACUACGUGCCAGCAGCCGCGGUAAUACGUAGGUCCCGAGCGUUGUCCGGAUUUAUUGGGCGUAAAGCGAGCGCAGGCGGUUCUUUAAGUCUGAAGUUAAAGGCAGUGGCUUAACCAUUGUAGGCUUUGGAAACUGGAGGACUUGAGUGCAGAAGGGGAGAGUGGAAUUCCAUGUGUAGCGGUGAAAUGCGUAGAUAUAUGGAGGAACACCGGUGGCGAAAGCGGCUCUCUGGUCUGUAACUGACGCGGAGGCUCGAAAGCGUGGGGAGCAAACAGG